GUCGACGGCAGCGCGGGGCAACCUGGCGGCGAGUGGCGAACGGGUGAGUAAUAUAUCGGAACGUACCCUGGAGUGGGGGAUAACGUAGCGAAAGUUACGCUAAUACCGCAUACGAUCUAAGGAUGAAAGUGGGGGAUCGCAAGACCUCAUGCUCCUGGAGCGGCCGAUAUCUGAUUAGCUAGUUGGUGGGGUAAAGGCCUACCAAGGCAUCGAUCAGUAGCUGGUCUGAGAGGACGACCAGCCACACUGGAACUGAGACACGGUCCAGACUCCUACGGGAGGCAGCAGUGGGGAAUUUUGGACAAUGGGCGAAAGCCUGAUCCAGCAAUGCCGCGUGAGUGAAGAAGGCCUUCGGGUUGUAAAGCUCUUUUGUCAGGGAAGAAACGGUGGAGGCUAAUAUCCUUUGCUAAUGACGGUACCUGAAGAAUAAGCACCGGCUAACUACGUGCCAGCAGCCGCGGUAAUACGUAGGGUGCAAGCGUUAAUCGGAAUUACUGGGCGUAAAGCGUGCGCAGGCGGUUUUGUAAGUCUGUCGUGAAAUCCCCGGGCUCAACCUGGGAAUUGCGAUGGAGACUGCAAGGCUAGAAUCUGGCAGAGGGGGGUAGAAUUCCACGUGUAGCAGUGAAAUGCGUAGAGAUGUGGAGGAACACCGAUGGCGAAGGCAGCCCCCUGGGUCAAGAUUGACGCUCAUGCACGAAAGCGUGGGGAGCAAACAGGAUUAGAUACCCUGGUAGUCCACGCCCUAAACGAUGUCUACUAGUUGUCGGGUUUUAUUAACUUGGUAACGCAGCUAACGCGUGA
rnacentral:rRNA from 1 species